rnacentral:rRNA from 1 species
UACGGAGGGGGCUAGCGUUGUUCGGAAUCACUGGGCGUAAAGCGCACGCAGGCGGAUUGAUAAGUCAGGGGUGAAAUCCCGGAGCUCAACUUCGGAAUUGCCUCUGAUACUGUCUGUCUUCGAGUUCGGGAGAGGUUGGCGGAAUUCCUAGUGUAGAGGUGAAAUUCGUAGAUAUUAGGAAGAACACCAGUGGCGAAGGCGGCCAACUGGCCCGAUACUGACGCUCAUGUGCGAAAGCGUGGGGAGCAAACAGG